CUGCUGCCCCAGGAAUGGGCUGAUUUCCUGAGUACACAUUAAUCUGAGCUCCCUCAGCCCUAGGGGUAGGGGGAUUGGGGGCACAAGAUGGGUGGAGCCAGAUAGGGAAGAUUCCCCCAGUGUUGUCCUGCUCCCAGUCCAGGUUUGGGACAAUGCCGGCAGCGUUUCCCUGUGUCUUUCCCCCACAAAGUCUCCAAGUCUUUCCUCAAAUGAUCGUCAAGGUUUGGGAGAAACAAUCUCUUCCUCUGCCCGGGUUGCGUGGAUCUCCAGUGGAAAGGUGAGACAGAGGGAUGCUGUCUGCCUCUCUCACAUACUGAGGCUUCACUCACUUUUAUCAGUCAAAUGCUGUCCUGAGGGCUGCUUGCCUGCAAUGUCCUCCCCAGGAUCUGGGAUGUCCUUCAUCAUUCUGGGGAAUUGCCAUUUUCUUUCUUGAAUUAAAGCUCACAGAGUUGGUCUUUAUGUACUUGCUUGCUAUUUCCAAAUGACUGAGGCAUGCUAAAAGCCUGUAAUCUGCCAUCUUGGAAAAAAAUCCUUGCAUCCUUAAGAGAAAUGGCACUUGGUGUUGAUACAUGGUGUUUCUACGUUGCUGAAUUCACUUUGAAAAUAUAUGUAUAUUUUAAAAUCUACAUUUAUAUGUGAGACUGGUGUAAAAAUAUCCUACUGUAUUUGUGCAAUUUUGGAAUCAGUUAUAUUAAUGUACUCAAUGAGUUGGGAAUUUUUCUUUUUUACUAUUAUCCAAAAAAA
rnacentral:lncRNA from 1 species